UACGUAGGGGGCAAGCGUUGUCCGGAAUCAUUGGGCGUAAAGAGCGCGUAGGCGGUCCGGUAAGUCGGUUGUGAAAACUGGGGGCUCAACCCUCAGAGGCCGACCGAUACUGUCGGGCUAGAGUCCGGAAGAGGAGAGUGGAAUUCCUGGUGUAGCGGUGAAAUGCGCAGAUAUCAGGAAGAACACCGGUGGCGAAGGCGGGUCUCUGGGCCGAUACUGACGCUGAGGAGCGAAAGCGUGGGGAGCGAACAGG
rnacentral:rRNA from 1 species